rnacentral:rRNA from 1 species
UACGUAGGGCGCAAGCGUUGUCCGGAAUUAUUGGGCGUAAAGAGCUCGUAGGUGGUUUGUCGCGUCUGCCGUGAAAGCCCGGGGCUUAGCUCCGGGUCUGCGGUGGAUACGGGCAGACUAGAGGCAGGUAGGGGAGAACGGAAUUCCUGGUGUAGCGGUGAAAUGCGCAGAUAUCAGGAGGAACACCGAUGGCGAAGGCAGGUCUCUGGGCAUUAACUGACGCUGAGGAGCGAAAGCAUGGGGAGCGAACAGG